GACGAACGCUGGCGGCGUGCUUAACACAUGCAAGUCGAACGGUAAGGCCCUUCGGGGUACACGAGUGGCGAACGGGUGAGUAACACGUGGGUGAUCUGCCCUGCACUUCGGGAUAAGCCUGGGAAACUGGGUCUAAUACCGGAUAGGACCACUGCCUGCAUGGGUGGUGGUGGAAAGCUUUUGCGGUGUGGGAUGGGCCCGCGGCCUAUCAGCUUGUUGGUGGGGUGACGGCCUACCAAGGCGACGACGGGUAGCCGGCCUGAGAGGGUGACCGGCCACACUGGGACUGAGAUACGGCCCAGACUCCUACGGGAGGCAGCAGUGGGGAAUAUUGCACAAUGGGCGCAAGCCUGAUGCAGCGACGCCGCGUGAGGGAUGACGGCCUUCGGGUUGUAAACCUCUUUUAGUAGGGAAGAAGCGAAAGUGACGGUACCUGCAGAAAAAGCACCGGCUAACUACGUGCCAGCAGCCGCAGUAA
rnacentral:rRNA from 1 species